rnacentral:misc_RNA from 1 species
GUGGAAUUUGGCAUUAGCUGUUCGGAUGUCAUAUUUUUCAGAGUCUGACAUGAUUUUAUGUUAUUUAUCAAGUUUGUCAUUUCUAAGCAAGGAAGACUUGCUUUAAUGAGGCAGAUGGAAGCAUAAUCUCUCCUGCUCUGAAUGCAUGACGCCAUCCUUGUGCUUGAGAAUUAUGUUUUAUGUUGUGACAUGGGUAGCAUAGAUUAUUGUUUUGUCUAAACAAGUCUACUGUGAUGACCCAGAGAGAUUCUAAGGAAAGGAAGUGAUUUUGUCAUGUUUGGAUGGAUAAUGUUUUGCUUGAAUUCUAUUAUCUUGAUGUUGCACCAACCAAGCUCUACAAGAUGAACAAUGAUCAUUGAGCGGAGGUCCUCAUUAG